rnacentral:rRNA from 1 species
CCCUUAGAUGUCCGGGGCUGCACGCGCGCUACACUGAAGGAAUCAGCGUGCUAAAACCAUUGUCGAAAGGCAUUGGUAAACCCAUUAAAAUCCUACGUGAUUGGGAUCGGGAAUUGCAAUUAUUUCCCUUGAACGAGGAAUUCCCAGUAAGUGUGGGUCAUAAGCUCGCGUUGAUUACGUCCCUGCCCUUUGUACACACCGCCCGUCGCUGCCCGGGACUGAGCCGUUUCGAGAAAAGUGGGGACUGCUGCUGUCGGGGCUUUCGGGCCUUGGCUUCGGUGGAAACCGCUUUAAUCGCAGUGGCUUGAACCGGGCAAAAGUCGUAACA